UAUGGCCCAUUUGGAGAAUAUCCAUUAAGUUUGCAACUGCCCGUAUCUCCGCUCAGUUCAGUAUCCGGGUACAGCAAUAAAAAUUCAUUACAGUCUCUCGCCUUAGGUGAGUAUUGGAUAUGUGCAGGAUUUCAUUGUCAUGCUCCCCGGGGCUGCACCACUGAAACAUAAUUUCAGCCUGAAUAGAUUUUCCGGGGCCUGUGAGGUGUUGGCUGACGCUGAGCGAUUCGACUGCACCUUAACACGCGUCAGCGUUUGUUUCUCAGGCAUCUCCUGCUUGGGUCUGUUGGGCUUUUUGUUUACCUGCCAUGUUUGAUAAUCACGCGCCACAUAUGAACCUGUGCAGAUCACGGUCCGCUGUCGGGUGUAAAAAUAUCCCUUUCAUAACUGUUUGUUAGGCUUUCUGCAGCACUCUCGUCUACUUCUGUUUGAAUCAAUUACGGUUGGCGCUGCCGGUGCCGUGUUUUGUUGUGAAGAAGCGCUCAGUAAGACGCUCUCAGCCUUUAUGAUGCGACCUCAUCUGGGCUCGUAGCAUGAAAGCCUUUAUUGAGAUUUUAUACAAACACACACAAUGCAUUUGUAUUUGGAUGGUUUAUUGUAAGGGUUGUGGGGUUGAUGCAUAUAGUCUUGUUUUUUGUCUUGUUUGCUAAAAACCAGGCCCUGCUCCAAUUUGUUCCUUUAUUUGUUUUGGCCUCUCUGGAGCCUCUGGUUCUGCCUGACGUCCACGCUGUGUCUCUGGACCGGAGGGUGGAGCUCUGAGACGCAACGCAAAAGUGUGCUGUUCCACUAAUCAAUACCAUGGCCAGCCAUGUGGGGGAAAUAGCUCCAUCCAGCCCUUUAAUAGGAAAACUCCGUCUCCUGCACCUACCGUGUAAUUGGUCCAGAUACAAUACGCUGCUUUAUGUCUAUACAUUGCAGGUGUCAUUAGGGAGCCACACACCGGCGUCUCCCGCUCUACGUCAGGAGAAGUGAGCCUCCCAGAGACGUACAGAUGAAAGCUGUCAGCGCCACCCUCUCCAUUGAGAGAGCCUUGAGAAAAAUAUUGCAUCAGAGUCUUUUGUCACACAAGAACAAUGAUUCUGCGGCUGAAUAGAUUGUAGAUGAAGUGACAUUUGGAGACAUGGGAAGGAAGUCAGUUUCAGAUUUACUUAAGCAACAUCAUUCAGAAGUUGGAAAUUUAGCUUUAUGCAUGAUAAUGACCAACUCGGUGGAUUAUAUACAGUACGUAUGGUGAGGAAGGCUGUGCUGCCCACACACACUGACUGAUCCACGAAGAGCCACUGGCACCAAACACACACUGAUCAUUGUUUUAUUGAAUGGCUGUGUGUCACCUCCGACUCUGUGGUCCCUGUUACUUUUCACACCAAACUUCUUACAUUAUCAGCAGACACAAUGGAUUCACUGGGCAACAAAGACGUGCCCGUUGCACAGCCUGAGUCGCCGCCGCCGCCAUGUUGGCGCUCUCCCCACGACGCCCCACUGCCCUUUUUGUGCGCGCCUUCCUAAAAUAUUCCCCUGUUCGUGCGCACGUGUUUACGAGGGUGCAUUGUGGGUGGCAGUUUGAUUCAUUAUGUAGCAACGCUCUUUCAUCUGCGGGCUGUAUUAAUUUGUUAAAGUUCAGCGCCCAUUUGUUAUUUGGAGAGAGAGCGGGAGAGAGAGCGAGCAGCAUAACGGAACAGGACUUUAUAUUAGAUGGGAAUUGAUGAAGGGCCAAUGAAGUGUUCAUUAACAGUUGUUUUAUAUGUGUGUUACCCAGAGCUCUGCUGUAAUUUGUCUAAAUGUGAGAUGCUCGUUCCUCUUGUGUGUUUGCAUUGAGAGGCUGACAGGAGGAUGGGGCCGGCGUUGAGCACCGGACCCACACAGCCCAUGGACCGGGCCCAAAGGUCUGCUAUUGUGGAAAAAUAAUUGCAUUUGCUUUUGGGAGAAAAACCUCAUCAUGAUAUGAACUCAGUGCUUGAGGUCUAACAAAUAAGCACUACGACACACGGGAUAUUUUUGUCUCGUGUCAUUGUGAGAUGCCUGUAAACGGUGCAUUGGUGAUAGAAGCUGUAUCACGCUAGUAAUUGGUUUGGAAAAUUAGCGAAGGGCUCGGUUUGCGUGUGUUUCUUCCUCGUCUCCUAUCAAACGCUAAGCACGGA